rnacentral:RNase_P_RNA from 1 species
CAGAUCCUGAGUAAUUGCGGUCGUAGUAUUACGGCUGAGGAAAGUCCAUUCUCGCACAGGCUGAGAUGCUUGUAGUGUUCGUGCUCGGUGAAAAAAUAAGCCGGGGAACUCUGAAUAAGAGUUACGGCGGACUUUGACGCUAAGGCUUUGCUAUGCUGAGAAGUCCCUAAGGUGCCACAGUGACGAAUGAUAUUGGAAACAGUAUCAAUGGAACGCGGUAAACCCCUCGAGCGGGAAACCCAAACUUUGGUAGGGGAGCUUCACACACGGAAAUUGAACCAAGUGUGGGGGAGAGAUGUUCGCAUUUCUCAGAUAGAUGAUUACUACUUGCAGUUUUGUUCCUGGAAAUUUGCAAGCACAAAACAUGGCUUAUAGGGAUU